CUUCUACCAGAAAAACAAAAUCAAAUCGAAACAAGGAGGCAAGAAUCAGGUUAAUUUUUGUCUUUUUCCAGUGAAAAUAUUCCUCACUUAAUGUAUAAUGUACUUUUCUUCCACAUUCUGGCUAGUUAAGUGGGAACAAGGCAAAGGAGGUGGAGAGCGAGCCAAGUGGGCAGAGAAGGGCUGGGGAGAGAAAGACGAAGGAGGAAAGAGGAGAGCAGCUUUGCAGUGAUUGAACACUUGCGUAGAAGAUGUCUUGGUUAUUUCCUCAGAUUAUGGAGGUGGGAUGGAGGAACAAACACACACAGUGUAUCAGUUAGGAAAGUGGCCACAAAUAAUAGAAAACCUGACUAUGGUGGAUUAAAUAAUUAGAGGUUUAAUUUUCUCACAUAAGGAAUCUGAAGGUAGCUUGCUGGCACUAGUUGAGCAGCAGAGCAUUGGCAGGACCCAGCAUCUCUCUAAUUAGCUUAGCUUUUCCUCAUGAUCACAAAAUGGCUGCUAAAGCUCCAGCUAUCACAUGUGCAUUCAAAGACAGAAGGAGGAAGGAGAAAAGACAACUGCAUCUGUCACCUUUUAUCAAGAAAGUAACAAUUUUCCCAGAAACUAGCCCAGCAGACUUCCCCUUAGGUCUCAGCCAGAACUGAAUCACAUGGCCACCCUUAGCUGGAAGAGAGGCUGGGAAGGUGGGGGACAGGAUUGUCAUGACCUGUCAUCUGAGGCUGAGUCCACCGAUGCCCUGAACAAAAUUGGAGUCUUAUCCCCAGAGAAGAAGGUUGGAAUAGAUAUUGGGUGGUGUUGUGGAUUGAAUCGUGGCCCCAAAAAAUAUAUGUUGGAGUCCUAACCCCCGGGACCUCAGAAUGUGAGCUUAUUUGGAAAUAGGGCUGUGCUCCAGUGUAACCUUGAAACUUCAGUUAUUCAGUCUCUCACUGUUCUGGAGGCUGGCAGUCCACAGUGAAGGUGGUGGCGGGGCUGCACUCCCUCUGCAGGCUCUAGGGACGCACGUUUCUUGUUUUCCAGCUUCUGGGGUCCCCAGGUGUUCCUUGGCUCAUGGCCGCAUCACUCCAGUCUCUGGCUCUGUCAUCACAUAACCUUCUCCUCCGUGUCUAUGUCUCUCCUCUUCUCUUAUAAGGACAUUUGUCACUGGAUUUAAGACCCAUGCCAGGAGCAGGAUUCCCAGGUUCUCAACCUGACGUACCUGGCAGGUGGGCCAAAUGCUCCACUUCCUGAGGUUGCAGGGCUCCGAGAGUGAGCCAGCUGACAGGUCUCUAGCUGUCAGCAAGGGAACUGGCAGGAAAGCCUGUGCCAGCCUUCUAUGGGCCAGCCCGGCCCCACCUCCAAACUUCCAACUCUCCUGCCUCCUCCCCACUUCUGUUUUGCCAGGCCCUCUGGCCUGUCCUUCCCAGCCCCUGCCACCCGCC
rnacentral:lncRNA from 1 species